GAUGAACGCUAGCGGCAGGCUUAACACAUGCAAGUCGAGGGGCAGCAUAAUGGAUAGCAAUAUCUAUGGUGGCGACCGGCGCACGGGUGCGUAACGCGUAUGCAACCUACCUUUAACAGGGGGAUAACACUGAGAAAUUGGUACUAAUACCCCAUAAUAUCAUAGUAGGCAUCUUUUAUGGUUGAAAAUUCCGAUGGUUAGAGAUGGGCAUGCGUUGUAUUAGCUAGUUGGUGGGGUAACGGCUCACCAAGGCGACGAUACAUAGGGGGACUGAGAGGUUAACCCCCCACACUGGUACUGAGACACGGACCAGACUCCUACGGGAGGCAGCAGUGAGGAAUAUUGGUCAAUGGACGCAAGUCUGAACCAGCCAUGCCGCGUGCAGGAUGACGGCUCUAUGAGUUGUAAACUGCUUUUGUACGAGGGUAAACGCAGAUACGUGUAUCUGUCUGAAAGUAUCGUACGAAUAAGGAUCGGCUAACUCCGUG
rnacentral:rRNA from 1 species